AACGAACGCUGGCGGCGUGCCUAACACAUGCAAGUCGUGCGAGAAAGUUCCUUCGGGAGCGAGUAAAGCGGCGCACGGGUGAGUAACACGUAGGUAACCUGCCCCCCAGUCUGGAACAACUAGAGGAAACUCUAGCUAAUGCCGGAUGAGACCACGAUCCCUUCGGGGGUUGCGGCCAAAGAUGGCCUCUACUUGUAAGCUAUCGCUGAGGGAUGGGCCUGCGGGCCAUUAGCUUGUUGGUGAGGUAACGGCUCACCAAGGCUGUGAUGGCUAGCUGGUCUGAGAGGAUGACCAGCCACACUGGGACUGAGACACGGCCCAGACUCCUACGGAGGCAGCAGUGGGGAAUAUUGCGCAAUGGGCGAAAGCCUGACGCAGCGACGCCGCCGUGGGUGAUGAAGGCCUCGGUC
rnacentral:rRNA from 1 species